GGGUUACUUUUUGGUACGUAGGCGCCAUGGAUGGCACAUCGUGCAUGCUGCUAGUAAGAACCAGCAGUAUCUCUUGAAGAUUUGCUACCCC
rfam:Glossina palpalis gambiensis isolate 146720 unplaced genomic scaffold Scaffold280, whole genome shotgun sequence.